UAGGUUUGACAUGGACGUGGUACCCGGGGCGAAAGCUUUGGGGACCCGCAAGGGAGCGUUCACAGGUGCUGCAUGGCUGUCGUCAGCUCGUGUCGUGAGAUGUUCGGUUAAGUCCGGCAACGAGCGCAACCCUCGCCUCCAGUUACCAGCGAGUAAAGUCGGGGACUCUGGAGGGACUAACCCGUUAGGGUGGGAAGGUGGGGAUGACGUCAAGUCAGUAUGGCCCUUACAUCUAGGGCUGCACACGUGCUACAAUGCCUGGUACAAAAGGAACCAAGACCGCGAGGUGGAGGAAAUCCCUAAAGCCAGGCCCAGUUCAGAUUGGAGUCUGCAACUCGACUCCAUGAAGCCGGAAUCGCUAGUAAUGGUAGAUCAGUACGUACCGGA
rnacentral:rRNA from 1 species